rnacentral:rRNA from 1 species
UUAAGCGACUAAGCGUACACGGUGGAUGCCCUGGCAGUCAGAGGCGAUGAAGGACGUGCUAAUCUGCGAUAAGCGUCGGUAAGGUGAUAUGAACCGUUAUAACCGGCGAUUUCCGAAUGGGGAAACCCAGUGUGAUUCGUCACACUAUCAUUAACUGAAUCCAUAGGUUAAUGAGGCGAACCGGGGGAACUGAAACAUCUAAGUACCCCGAGGAAAAGAAAUCAACCGAGAUUCCCCCAGUAGCGGCGAGCGAACGGGGAGCAGCCCAGAGCCUGAAUCAGUGUGUGUGUUAGUGGAAGCGUCUGGAAAGGCGCGCGAUACAGGGUGACAGCCCCGUACACAAAAAUGCACAUACUGUGAGCUCGAUGAGUAGGGCGGGACACGUGGUAUCCUGUCUGAAUAUGGGGGGACCAUCCUCCAAGGCUAAAUACUCCUGACUGACCGAUAGUGAACCAGUACCGUGAGGGAAAGGCGAAAAGAACCCCGGCGAGGGGAGUGAAAAAGAACCUGAAACCGUGUACGUACAAGCAGUGGGAGCACGCUUAGGCGUGUGACUGCGUACCUUUUGUAUAAUGGGUCAGCGACUUAUAUUCUGUAGCAAGGUUAACCGAAUAGGGGAGCCGAAGGGAAACCGAGUCUUAACUGGGCGUUAAGUUGCAGGGUAUAGACCCGAAACCCGGUGAUCUAGCCAUGGGCAGGUUGAAGGUUGGGUAACACUAACUGGAGGACCGAACCGACUAAUGUUGAAAAAUUAGCGGAUGACUUGUGGCUGGGGGUGAAAGGCCAAUCAAACCGGGAGAUAGCUGGUUCUCCCCGAAAGCUAUUUAGGUAGCGCCUCGUGAAUUCAUCUCCGGGGGUAGAGCACUGUUUCGGCAAGGGGGUCAUCCCGACUUACCAACCCGAUGCAAACUGCGAAUACCGGAGAAUGUUAUCACGGGAGACACACGGCGGGUGCUAACGUCCGUCGUGAAGAGGGAAACAACCCAGACCGCCAGCUAAGGUCCCAAAGUCAUGGUUAAGUGGGAAACGAUGUGGGAAGGCCCAGACAGCCAGGAUGUUGGCUUAGAAGCAGCCAUCAUUUAAAGAAAGCGUAAUAGCUCACUGGUCGAGUCGGCCUGCGCGGAAGAUGUAACGGGGCUAAACCAUGCACCGAAGCUGCGGCAGCGACGCUUAUGCGUUGUUGGGUAGGGGAGCGUUCUGUAAGCCUGUGAAGGUGUACUGUGAGGUAUGCUGGAGGUAUCAGAAGUGCGAAUGCUGACAUAAGUAACGAUAAAGCGGGUGAAAAGCCCGCUCGCCGGAAGACCAAGGGUUCCUGUCCAACGUUAAUCGGGGCAGGGUGAGUCGACCCCUAAGGCGAGGCCGAAAGGCGUAGUCGAUGGGAAACAGGUUAAUAUUCCUGUACUUGGUGUUACUGCGAAGGGGGACGGAGAAGGCUAUGUUGGCCGGGCGACGGUUGUCCCGGUUUAAGCGUGUAGGCUGGUUUUCCAGGCAAAUCCGGAAAAUCAAGGCUGAGGCGUGAUGACGAGGCACUACGGUGCUGAAGCAACAAAUGCCCUGCUUCCAGGAAAAGCCUCUAAGCAUCAGGUAACAUCAAAUCGUACCCCAAACCGACACAGGUGGUCAGGUAGAGAAUACCAAGGCGCUUGAGAGAACUCGGGUGAAGGAACUAGGCAAAAUGGUGCCGUAACUUCGGGAGAAGGCACGCUGAUAUGUAGGUGAGGUCCCUCGCGGAUGGAGCUGAAAAUCAGUCGAAGAUACCAGCUGGCUGCAACUGUUUAUAAAAACACAGCACUGUGCAAACACGAAAGUGGACGUAUACGGUGUGACGCCUGCCCGGUGCCGGAAGGUUAAUUGAUGGGGUCAGCGCAAGCGAAGCUCUUGAUCGAAGCCCCGGUAAACGGCGGCCGUAACUAUAACGGUCCUAAGGUAGCGAAAUUCCUUGUCGGGUAAGUUCCGACCUGCACGAAUGGCGUAAUGAUGGCCAGGCUGUCUCCACCCGAGACUCAGUGAAAUUGAACUCGCUGUGAAGAUGCAGUGUACCCGCGGCAAGACGGAAAGACCCCGUGAACCUUUACUAUAGCUUGACACUGAACAUUGAGCCUUGAUGUGUAGGAUAGGUGGGAGGCUUUGAAGUGUGGACGCCAGUCUGCAUGGAGCCGACCUUGAAAUACCACCCUUUAAUGUUUGAUGUUCUAACGUGGACCCGUAAUCCGGGUUGCGGACAGUGUCUGGUGGGUAGUUUGACUGGGGCGGUCUCCUCCUAAAGAGUAACGGAGGAGCACGAAGGUUGGCUAAUCCUGGUCGGACAUCAGGAGGUUAGUGCAAUGGCAUAAGCCAGCUUGACUGCGAGCGUGACGGCGCGAGCAGGUGCGAAAGCAGGUCAUAGUGAUCCGGUGGUUCUGAAUGGAAGGGCCAUCGCUCAACGGAUAAAAGGUACUCCGGGAUAACAGGCUGAUACCGCCCAAGAGUUCAUAUCGACGGCGGUGUUUGGCACCUCGAUGUCGGCUCAUCACAUCCUGGGGCUGAAGUAGGUCCCAAGGGUAUGGCUGUUCGCCAUUUAAAGUGGUACGCGAGCUGGGUUUAGAACGUCGUGAGACAGUUCGGUCCCUAUCUGCCGUGGGCGCUGGAGAAUGAGGGGGGCUGCUCCUAGUACGAGAGGACCGGAGUGGACGCAUCACUGGUGUUCGGGUUGUCAUGCCAAUGGCACUGCCCGGUAGCUAAAUGCGGAAGAGAUAAGUGCUGAAAGCAUCUAAGCACGAAACUUGCCCCGAGAUGAGUUCUCCCUGACUCCUUGAGAGUCCUGAAGGAACGUUGAAGACGACGACGUUGAUAGGCCGGGUGUGUAAGCGCAGCGAUGCGUUGAGCUAACCGGUACUAAUGAACCGUGAGGCUUAACCUU